rnacentral:rRNA from 1 species
UUCCCCUACGGGGCGCAGCAGUGAGGAAUAUUGGUCAAUGGCCGAGAGGCUGAACCAGCCAAGUCGCGUGAGGGAUGACGGCCCUACGGGUUGUAAACCUCUUUUGUCGGGGAGCAAGACCCGCCUCGUGCAGGCGGAGCGAGAGUACCCGAAGAAAAAGCAUCGGCUAACUCCGUGCCAGCAGCCGCGGUAAUACGGAGGAUGCGAGCGUUAUACGGAUUUAUUGGGUUUAAAGGGUGCGCAGGCGGACCAUCAAGUCAGCGGUAAAAUCGUGGGGCCCAACCUCGCUCCGCCGUUGAAACUGG